AUUACUGAUAGAAGGCAGGUGUGGGGAGCUUGAAGCAGUGGGUAGUGAAUGAAGACCUUAAUGGAUCGAAAAAGAAGGAAUCAACAUGUAAGGAUUUGUGGCUUUUAUGUCAAGGUUUCUGGAUAAUUUAACAUUGAAGCUAUUCAUGACAACAGACUGGAACGGCAGAUCGGAUUUUCAAGAGCCAACUAUUCAACUGCAGGGACCUACAAAACUGUCAGCCCUAACCAUCAAGAAUGACCGCCGACUGACUAACCCCAGUCAGUAAUCCCCACCAUGGCUGCACAAGAAGCACUAUUCAAGGUUCCUUCACAUGAGUGGCAGACCUCUGCAGCCCCUCCAAAGUGGCGCUUGUGUUCUUGGCUGCUUCUCUGAUUAAUGCUCUCCUUGCCUGGGCUUGCCUAUAUGGACAUCUAUGUCUUGAGUAGCAGCAUGCAUUAAACACGGAGAGAAAAAGAACGUCACCUGAACCGGCAUUGAUACGUCCUCAAUCAUUGUCUCUUUCUGAAGGCUGACCUCUUUGCUGUAUAUUUUGGAGCUAUCAAGUGGUGCUGAAAGUCACACUUAUCACAAGGUAAGGGAUGGCGACCAGACUUCCAUUCAUUUUAUGAUUUCACC